rnacentral:rRNA from 1 species
CACGUAGGGUGCGAGCGUUGUCCGGAAUUAUUGGGCGUAAAGAGCUCGUAGGCGGUGUGUCGCGUCGGCCGUGAAAACCUGCAGCUUAACUGUGGGCUUGCGGUCGAUACGGGCAUCACUGGAGUUCGGCAGGGGAGACUGGAAUUCCUGGUGGAGCGGUGAAAUGCGCAGAUAUCAGGAGGAACACCGGUGGCGAAGGCGGGGCUCUGGGCCGAUACUGACGCUGAGGAGCGAAAGCGUGGGGAGCGAACAGG